GAUAGUGAGGUGGCAGCCGUAGUGGUGGCAGUAGGGCACGCGAUGCGGCCAAGAAAAACAGGCCUGACACGCCUGUAACGGGCCUCGUGAGGGCCCAGCGAAAAGAUUUUGCUGAACCAAGGCUGCCCGAGAAGGUACCG
rnacentral:rRNA from 1 species